rnacentral:lncRNA from 1 species
AAUACCUGUCUUUCUCUCUUCCAACGUCUUCUCAAUUUGUUAAAUGGCUACAGCUCUCACGAUUCUUCACUUAUUUCCUUUAUAUAUUUUCUAGUUAAUUUCAUCCAAGUCUAAAAUUUUAUAAUAAUUACACAUCAAGUAAAUUAUUUUGGACUUUGGACUUUUUGGUCCACCAAAGUGAGAUAGACCCCACAUUAUUAAGUUAAAAGAUCCUACUUUUUUAUUGUUUAUUAUUAUAAUUAAUUUUAUGUUAUUAUGGUGAUUUCGAUGAAAAUAGAUAUAUAAAAUAGAUGAUUCAGAUAAUAUUUUUUUAGAAAAAAAAUCAAAUAAUAAGCUCAAACUUUAAGAAAAAUAGAGAAUUAUUCUUGCAUUUAUCUAAAAAAAGAACAAUAGAGAACUAUUCUUCUUAUAUGUACAUGAUAAUAACACUAAUAUAUUAGAUAUUUUCCUCAGUAAAUAUUAUGACAACGCAACACCUAUAUAAACAACGCAUGUCACCAAUUACAAUUUUUCUAACAACUUGAUUAGCAUGUCUUCAUACACGCGUUGGACCGCAAGCAAAAUUCCUGUGCUUUAUGAAAAGUCUCAUGCGAAUGCAAAAGUUUGUCUUUACUCUUUAGAAGUGAAUUUUUUUUUUUUUUUUUCGGUAGUUAUGUAUAUAAGAUUGUUGGUCUCGUUGUUCACACUCUAAACUCAAAUUUCACCUUCAAAAGGUUAGGUGUAAUUAUGAGUUAAAGCUAGAGUCGGCUGCUAUUCAUUUCAUGCCAAAUUUAGAUUUAUUUAAACAUGACGCAUUUAAAAUCUUAUCAAAAAUUUGAAAUCUUAACAUGACAUAGAAGAUAAUUAAGACAUGAUAAUUUAUUUUAUAACAGGGUAAUCAUGUCACCUGGACAAGAGAUGACUCAAAAACUCACGUCGAUAAUAUAAAUUGAACUCGAUUUACAUGAAUAUAUAUUACUAGCUCCCUCAUUAUUUAACAAAGAUUGCACGCAUUUAUAUAUCUGAACAAUAUAUGUAUUGAUAAUAUUAUCCAAUAUAAAUGGUUAUUAAAAUGAUAAAAAAUCAUAUUUAAUUAAGCUAUUAAUCAUAUUAAAGUACAUGUGAUGGAGGCUAAAGUAAAAUGUGAUGAAUAUUCUUAGAUGUUUUCGUAAAUAUAAAAAAAUCUUCAUUUUUAUAUAGGUUAGUGAGUCGACCCACACAACUACCAUUUACUAAUAUGUUGAACGUUGGUGGGUCAAGACUUGUAAUUAACCUCAACUAAUAUGUUUAUACCUUAUCUAAUUCAAUCGAAUAAAAUUAAGUAUAGUCCAAUCCAACGUGACAUACCAAAAUGUACCUUAAAGUGUAUCAAAUCGAAGAUUCUAAAUAUACCUCUCAAAACAUAAAAUAAAACUAUUUAAGAAAAGAUUCAAAUGUAAAUGUAAAUAAAGGCCAAAUAAAUAAAUAAUUGGACUAAACGCAAUAAACCCACCCACAAUUAACUAUAGAUGAAUGAAUAUUAUAUAAUAAUUAAAAAGAGAAAGAAAUCAUUGUAGUGUAAAAGGGAUAUACAAUCAACGCUUGAAAAAAUAAUAAAUCACACACACUUGAUACUUAUUUAUGAGAAAUAAUUAAUUACGAUCGCUUAAUUAAUAUAAGCAAGUAAGCAAGCAACAAGAAUAAUGGUGGUAAAUAACAAAAGGUAUAUGGUCUAACCCAGCCUACGCUUCUUCAGUAAAACGAGUGAUUGAUUGAAUGUGUACUAGAUUAAGAAGCAAAUAAAUAUAUCAAACUUGGAAUGGUCCCCAUUGAUCUCAUGCUAAUCAGCGGAGAACAUAAAAGUCUUGAAUACCUAAAAUUAAUUAAUUAGUUCACUAACUUAAGCAAUGACCCUGGUAGCAGUUUUAUUCAUAAUUAAAAGAUAUAAAAAGUUGAGAAAUGAGGCAAUAUUAAAGAAAUACAUCAAGUUAAUGAAAACAAUAGUUUGGACUUCCCUUGAUGUCAUUGAGAAUUAGUUUAUGAAUAUCGAUCGGAGGAGAAUCCCACCAGAUUAUCCGAAAAUAGUUUAGUCGUAUAUUUACAAAUGUGUCAGCCACUAAAUUUCCUUCUCGAUAAAUAUAGGAGGAAUAGAAAUUUAGGUCGAAAAUUUGAGACUUGCAAAUUUGAAAUCCAAAAAUAUUAGUAUGAAGCCUUUAAGGAGAACAGAAGUUAUCAUUAUGAAGAACCAAUGUUUUUUAUGUCAUAUGUAAUUUUUUUUCACUUCAUCGAAGAAUGAAGAUAAUCAAUCGUACGUGUAUUUCUCUGAGUAACUGUUGUGCUUUGAUUUCUAACAUAAUAAUGCAACCUUAAUUUGGAGUAAAGAAGUACUACUUUAUGCAAUUGUCCUUUCAUUUGUAAAAUUUAAUUAAGAAUAGAGUAAAAGAAAAAAGAAAUUUAAGCCUUUGUUUGUCUGAUCUGCUAUCGUCUCACUCACAUCAUUAAGUGCUUGUACUCUAGAAGUCGAGCUGUUAAUUUCACAAAGAUAAAAUGAAAGAUAUUAUCAUUUUAUGAGAUGAUGACCAAUUCUUCUUUUCUUACUUUAAUAGGGAAAGUAGAUCCAACAUGAACAUAAACAAAACAUAAGUAACUUAGAAGGCGAUUCCACCACCUCAUCCUUCUGCAUGUGUUACUCAUAUUUAUAUUGAUUUGGCUAACCGUAAACUAUUGGAAAUGUAACUUAGUAAGAGCCACAUGGUAAAUGCAAGUCGUUGACUUUUCUUCCUUCUUCUACUUCUUCUCCUUCCCCUCCCUCACCCUUACCACAAGUAACCAUAAAAAAAUGUGCUUAUGUUAAAAAAUGAUGAUUAUUUUUGUUCCAAAGUUCUACGUAUGAUUGAAAAAAAACUAAUAACAAUAUUAUUGCUACAUUGGCAUAAACUAAAAUGAUAUUUAAUCUAAAAGUAUGCAUGCUUUAGAAUUAAUGUUAAGCAUGCAUUGAUAUUUAAUGUAAAAGCAUGCAUUAGAAUUAAUGUUGAGCAUGCAUUGGCAUUUAAUGUAAAGCAGGCAUUAGAAUUAAUGUUCAGCAUGCAUCGGCAUUUAAUGUAAAAGCAUGUAGAAGAAUUAAUGUUAAUGAAGAAAUGAAAGCUAUAAAUAGUAAGCUUAAGGCGUCAAUCAUUUUAGUUAAGAAAAUCCAACAAAGAGUCUAAAGAAGAACAUUUUCCAAUUUCUAAAACCAAUUUCUAAACACACUUCCAUAUUCAUUUCCCAUAAAUGUUCCGUUUUCUCACAUUUAUCGUAAUUACAAUUGCUAGACUACAACAAUCCUAGAAAAAUAAUAUUAAACUACUGGUUCUCUAUUAUUCAUUAGUAUACUCUGCUCUCACAUCACUAUUCAUAGCAUGUGCUAUUAUUGUUUGAGUUCAAAUCCAUCUAGACUACAACAAUCCUAGAAAAAUAAUAUUAAGCUACUAGUUCUCUAUUAUUUAUUAGUAUACUCUGCUCUCACAUCACUAUUCAUAGCGUGUGCUAUUAUUGUUUGAGUUCAAAUCCAUUACUCAACAAAACAACAAACAUCGUUAAAGUUGCAAUUGGAGCUUAUUUAAGCCAUAUCAAUGCUUGAAUAUGCUCUUGGACCUUACUCUCCAAACCACACAACAGAAUCAGGCGGAUCGCAGACCAUUAAGCUCGAAUUUCAAAUUAAGCCUAAAUGUAUUUCAAUCUAGAAAGAGCCUUUUCUUAUGACACGUGGCUUGGUGAAAUUCCCACCCCAAACAAAGAGUAAAGGCAUUAGACAUGGUGGAUUAAAUUCAUAUAACCUCACUAAUUAAUUUCGUGACCCAAAAAACAGAAUCCAUUUUGCUCUAGUUAGGCUCCAAACUUUGAAUAUAAUAUGGUGUACAUUUAGUAGAUAGUAUGUUGUGUUAGUAGAUUUAGCUAAAAGGGACUACAACUAUUGGGCUGACCACUCCAAACUCAUAUAAGAAUUACAAAUAAGAGGGUGAUAACUGACAAGAAGAAAUAUUGUUAGAAAUAAUAAGUGACUUUGCAUUCCUAUUCAAUAUGUCCACCACAUGGCUACAAAAAUGCUUACUUAGCGGCCAAGCUUAUUAUCUUCCUUACUACUCUGGAACCGGAAGUGGCUAACUAGGCAACCGUGCUUAUUAUAUUCCUCACUAGUCUAGAACUGGAAGCAGCUCACUCGGAAGGCUAAUGGUUACUAUGGCGUUUCAAGGUAGAGAGAGUAAAAGCAAACAACUUUAUGUCCACUUAAUUCUUAAGAAAAUUAAUCUGCCCUAAAAGAUCAGAUCUUUUUUUUAAAAAAAAACAUAAAAUUAAAGUUGUCUUUUUUAUUUAAUCUACCUAUCACAGUAAAAGUGGUGCUGAAUCUUGAAAGGGUUAGGCAUGCUUGAACAGUUUUGAAAAUUUCACUGUUGUCAACGUUACCAUUUUUAAGUUCUUUUCCUACAAUAAUAAAGUUAUAAUCUUUUCAGUUCCUACGUUAUUCUCCGACAAUGAAUUGUCACGCUUUCCAAACCCAACAAUGGGUAGUUCUUUUCCCUUAUCAAAGUUACUACUUUUAAGCUCUGUUCCUAAUUCUUAUAGAUAAUAAAGCUUUUAUUUUUAGGUACCACUACUCUCUUCUACCCAAAGGCUUCAAAAUGUAAUUUUCUGAGUGCACAUUACAAAUAAUUUUAUAAUUUAAUAUUAU